ACGAACGCUGGCGGCGCGCCUAACACAUGCAAGUCGAACGGAGUCAAGAGGAGCUUGCUUUUCUUGACUUAGUGGCGAACGGGUGAGUAACGCGUGAGUAACCUGCCCUGGAGUGGGGGGCAACAGUUGGAAACGACUGCUAAUACCGCAUAAGCCCACGGAUCCGCAUGGAUCUGCGGGAAAAGGAUUUAUUCGCUUCAGGAUGGACUCGCGUCCAAUUAGCUAGUUGGGUAGGUAACGGCCCACCAAGGCGACGAUUGGUAGCCGGACUGAGAGGUUGAAUGGCCACAUUGGGACUGAGACACGGCCCAGACUCCUACGGGAGGCAGCAGUGGGUGAUAUUGCACAAUGGGGGAAACCCUGAUGCAGCGACGCCGCGUGGAGGAAGAAGGUUUUCGGAUUGUAAACUCCUGUCGUUAGGGACGAUAAUGACGGUACCUAACAAGAAAGCACCGGCUAACUACGUG
rnacentral:rRNA from 1 species